rnacentral:rRNA from 1 species
AGUCAGACUACGGGAGCUAAGUUCCGUGGUCAAAAGGGAAAGAGCCCAGACCGACAAUUAAGGUCCCAAAGAUAUAGUUAAGUGGGAAACGAUGUGAAUUUGCGUAAACAACCAGGAUGUUGGCUCAGAAGCAGCCAUUCAUUCAAAGAGUGCGUAACAGCUCACUGGUCGAGUGAAGUUGCGCGGAAAAUUACCGGGGCUAAGCUAUACACCGAAAUUGCGGAUUUACAUUUGAAAUAAAAUGUAAGUGGUAGAGGAGCAUUCUGUUGUAGGACGAAGCAUGAUCGAGAGGACAUGUGGACGAAGCAGAAGAGAGAAUGCUGGAAUAAGUAGCGAGAGCAAGGUGAGAAUCCUUGCCGUCGAAAAUCUAAGGUUUCCUGGGGAAGGUUCGUCCGCCCAGGGUAAGUCGGGACCUAAGGAGAGGCCGAAAAGCGUAUCCGAUGGACAGCAGGUAGAAAUUCCUGCACUACGAAAUACUUAAAAGAUAUAAAUGACACAGGAGUGGAAGAUAAGCGAGGAAGAGGAAAAACUCGUAUCGAAAGAUAUAGUGAAAAUUAAAGUAACGAAUUAUCAAGAAGCUAAUGGCGAGAAAAGUUUAUAGAUAUUGUAUUUAGUACCCGUACCGCAAACCGACACAGGUAGAUGAGGAGAAGAUCCUAAGAUGAGCGAGAGAAGCAUUGUUAAGGAACUCGGCAAAUUGACCCCGUAACUUCGGAAUAAGGGGUGCUGGUGUAAAAGCCAGUCGCAGAGAAUAGUCCCAAGCAACUGUUUAACAAAAACACAGGUUUCUGCUAAAUCGAAAGAUGAAGUAUAGGAGCUGACACCUGCCCAGUGCUGGAAGGUUAAGGGGAAGGGUUAGGAGCAAUCCAAAGCCUAGAACUAAAGCCCCAGUGAACGGCGGCCGUAACUAUAACGGUCCUAAGGUAGCGAAAUUCCUUGUCAGGUAAGUUCUGACCCGCACGAAAGGUGUAAUGAUCUGGGCACUGUCUCAACCAUGGACUCGGUGAAAUCUUAAUACCUGUGAAAAUGCAGGUUACCCGCAUCAGGACGGAAAGACCCCAUGGAGCUUUACUGUAGCUUGAUAUUGAGAUUCGGUAUGUUAUGUAGAGAAUAGGUGGGAGACUAUGAGACUAGGACGCCAGUUCUAGAGGAGUCACCUUUGGAAUACCACCCUUAAUGUAUUGGAUUUCUAACCUCGACCCAUGAUCUGGGCCAGGGACAGUGUCUGGUGGGCAGUUUGACUGGGGCGGUCGCCUCCCAAAAAGUAACGGAGGCGCCCAAAGGUUCCCUCAGAAUGGAUGGAAAUCAUUCGCAGAGCGUAAAGGUAUAAGGGAGCUUAACUGCAAGACCAACAAGUCGAGCAGAUACGAAAGUAGGGCUUAGUGAUCAGACGGUGCAGAAUGGAAUGGCCGUCGCUUAACGGAUAAAAGUUACCCUGGGGAUAACAGGCUGAUACCACCCAAUAGUUCACAUAGACGGUGGUGUUUGGCACCUCGAUGUCGGCUCGUCACAUCCUGGAGGUGAAGUCGCUUCCAAGGGUUGGGCUGUUCGCCCAUUAAAGUGGCACGCGAGCUGGGUUCAGAACGUCGUGAGACAGUUCGGUCUCUAUCU